rnacentral:rRNA from 1 species
ACAAAACUUUCAACAACGGAUCUCUUGGCUCUCGCAUCGAUGAAGAACGCAGCGAAAUGCGAUAAGUAAUGUGAAUUGCAGAAUUCAGUGAAUCAUCGAAUCUUUGAACGCACCUUGCGCCUUUUGGUAUUCCGAAAGGCAUGCCUGUUUGAGUGUCAUGAAACUU